rnacentral:RNase_P_RNA from 1 species
CACGCCGUACAGGUGGUCGCCGGCCGCUGCCCCUCGGGGCAGGGGCGGGAGGAAAGUCCGAGCUCCAUAGAGCGCGAUGCCAGGUAACGCCUGGUGGUGGAGACACCAAGGAAAGUGCAACAGAGAGAGACCACCCGCCCGCUCGUUCGCGAGCCGGCGGGCCAGGGUGAAACGGCGGGGUAAGAGCUCACCGCGCCUCCGGUAACGGAGGUGGCACGGCAGACCCCAUCGGGAGCAAGGCCGCAUAGGCGGGCGUUCGGAGGCGCGAGCCUCCGUGAAGGGUGACUCGCCCGAGCUCGUGGGUUGGCUGCUCGAGGCGGCCGGUGACGGUCGCCCUAGAGGAAUGAUCACCACCCGCGCGGCGGCGACGGCGCGCGGGGACAGAACUCGGCUUACGGACGACGUGGACC